AGAAAGAAAAAAAGACGACGUCAACUUCCCAAGGCUUUUCAGCGUCAAGAAAGAGGAAUUUGAAGGGAAAGUUCAAGACUGGGUGGCCAGAAGUUACAUUUCAGUGACCUGGUUACCGCCUCUCUCUGCAAACCCAAAGGAUCACUUUCCUGUAAACUGUUUUUUGUUCUUUCUAUGCAUCAAGAUGUGUCAUUUAUUUUUUCUGAAGAUUUUUGACUAAUGUGUGUGUGUAUGUGGGUCUUUGUGUGGAUAAAUUAUGUUCAUACUUUAAAGGUGGACAUUUGCAACAGCGCUUGUCCCUAAAAUUGCUCCAGGGGUAUGGUCCGAGACUGUCCUAAAUGACAAAUGAUGGAAUGUAAAUGACAUUACAUUCUGUAGAAGUCUCACAUAAAUGUGCAUUGUACUUUAGUUAAUGUUAACUUGUCAACAGUGAAUUAUUUUAGGAUGUCAUUGGACUGAAUGUUUAGUGAUUAAUGACACUUCAUUCCAGUAAAAAUAUAAUCCAUAGCCUUGGAGUGAAAGCAGCAGCAAAGUGUUCCAAUGCUGAUAAAAAUCAAGCUGGUUAAAACCUCAGGUUCCUUAAAUAUCUGUUCUACAGGACUGUUUGGGGUUGGACAGAUUUUGUAAUGGUUUUGAAGUCUGAUGCUCAUCAGGCCUUCAUUUAUUUGUUCAGAAAUGCAGUAGAACCAGUAAUAUUGUAAAUUGUAAUAAUAUUUUACAAUAACUCUUUUCUAUUUGAGGCAGCAGUGGAUCUACCCCAAUCAUCAUUAACGGGACCACAGUGGAGAGAGUGAGCAUCUCCAAUACCUUCAAAUGCCCUGCAAAGAGUAGCUGAGCGCAUCUCCAGAACAUCUCCCCCUUCUCUGCAAGACAUCCACACCAGAAGAUGUAAAUCUAGGACUGUUAAGAUCCUUAAAGACCCCACCCACCCAUCUGCUACAGUCAGGCAGACCCUUCUGCAGUCUGAUGGCAAAAACAGAGAGGCUCAGGAGGAGUUUCUUCCCUCAUGUUAUCAGACUACUAAACAUGGACAUUAAACACACUGAACUUUAUAGACUGGUUGUUUAGGGCUACCCAAUAACUCUCUGCACACUGCUUUUUUGACAACCUAACUAUGCAACUCAUCCUCACUGCACAUUGUCUACAUCUCUGCACAUCAUCUGUGUAGCAGUUUCUAUGUAGCAUCUCUACAAAUCAUCUGUGUAGUAGUUUAAUACAGUAUAUUGUGUAUAUUUUAUACAGUAUAUUUUUUCCUGUUGUUUCAUUAUUUAAUUUUUUUUGCACAGUCUAAAAAGAGUAUGCCAGACCUACAUUUCACUGCUUUUUGCAUGUCAUAUAACAAAUAAAACUUGAAUUUUUAA